GCCAGACUCCUACGGGAGGCAGCAGUGGGGGAUAUUGCACAAUGGGGGGAACCCUGAUGCAGCGACGCCGCGUGGGUGAAGGAGCGUUUCGGCGCGUAAAGCCCUAUCGGCAGGGAAGAAGGAGGACGGUACCUGACUAAGAAGCCCCGGCUAACUACGUGCCAGCAGCCGCGGUAAUACGUAGGGGGCAAGCGUUAUCCGGAUUUACUGGGUGUAAAGGGGGCGCAGACGGCAGCGCAAGCCAGGAGUGAAAGCCCGGGGCCCAACCCCGGGACUGCUCUUGGAACUGCGCGGCUGGAGUGCAGGAGGGGCAGGCGGAAUUCCUGGUGUAGCGGUGAAAUGCGUAGAUAUUAGGAGGAACACCAGUGGCGAAGGCGGCUUACUGGACUGUAACUGACGUUGAGGCUCGAAAGCGUGGGGAGCAAACAGGAUUAGAUACCCUAGUGCC
rnacentral:rRNA from 1 species